rnacentral:lncRNA from 1 species
AUUUGAAUCAGCUGUGUAGUGCUAGGGCAAAAAAACAAAACGUGCACCACUUGGGGUCUUGGCUGCCCUGUGCAUACUGCUGCGCCAAACUCUGUUACCGCCGCCCGUACCCACUCCGCCGCAAGCUAUUCCAGGUUGUGAAAACCGGUCUGGCGUACAUGCAAACUUCAGUCCCCUGGCCAGCGGGACCUGAGGAGACGACUCUGCUAUGACCCCACACGCAAUUCAGGAUGUUGACAGAUGGCCUUGGGUUAUGCGUUUGAUUGGAUUGUAACAAUCAACACGUUAUCCCUGUGAAUCACAAGCAGUUGCCAUGGUGCAGGUGAGAGAGGUCAUGGGGCCAUGGGCAGUUCCAGGGUUGGGGUCAUUCUCUUCAGAUUUCGUCGUGUUCUCUCUGCUCUUCCUCCUCCUCUCCAUCAUCCUCGCCCUCUGCACUAACUGUAGAAGGCAUUCCUUUACGCUCCGGGAUGGUGGUGAGGAGGUGGACAGAACCCAGUCACAGCUGGUCAGAGUGGUGAAGCUAGAAGAUGCCCUGGCCGCCAGGGAGAACCCAAUGAUCAAUGACAUCAGAAAAGAUGAGAGUGAUUUCAGUCCCAGACCUGAGGACAGUGUCAUUGGUGUACCGGAUCAGCCUCCUGCUGAGCAGGAUGUCACCUGGUUGAAACCCUGGAGGAGCCACAGGGAGGCACCUGAUCAAGGUGAUUCUCCAAGUGCCUUGCAGAUUGCCAACAGAACCCCCAUGGUCAUGACGAUUAUAUCUCCUUCGCCUCCAGCAACCGUCGACAUUGGUGACCUGAGUGAUGUCCUGAACUUCACACCUGAGCUCCACUUUAUCCCAGCCCCCAUUGUCAUGGUGGAAGUCGACACCCCCCUUGAAUCUUUAUCCCCACCUGUCUAUUCAGAGGACACCCUAGAUGCCACAAUCGUGAGCAGUUUUGAACCUGUUGAUGUCCCCAUUGUGGAGGUCCCCAUCAUGAGCAGCCUUAAACCUGUUGCUGUCCCCAUCCUUGAACCUCUGGUUGUCCCCAUCGUGAGCAUUCUUGAACCUGUGGAAGUCCCCAAUGUGAAUGUCCACAUCGUGAGUAGUUUUGAAUCUGUGGAAGCCCCCAUCGUGGAUCUCCCCAUCAUGGAUGUCACCAUUGUGAACAGCCUUGAACCUCUGCAAGCCCCAAUUGUGGAUGCACCCAUCGUGAGCAGCCUUGAACCUGUUGAACAUGCAGAUGCCACUGUCAUGAAUGACCUUGAUAUCCUGAAUGCUCCAGUUGGCUUAGAGAACCUGGAUGCCCCAGUCAUCAACAGUCUUGACACACUGGUGCUGGACGCUCUUAUUGUAAACAGCCUUGAACCUGUGGACAUCCCUGUCAUCAAUGACCUUGACACUCCAGAUACCCCCAUCAUAAAUAUUCUUGACACCCUGGAGCUGGAUGCUCCCAUCAUAGAUGUCCCCAUUGUGGACAGCCUUGCACCUGUGGAAUUCCCCAUCAUGAAUGACAUUGACCUCCUGGAGAACCCUGCGGAGUUCAGCUCCAGCUUUAACCCUCAGCUUGAAGUAGAGGUUCAUGUGGAGGGUGAGGACCAGAACCAGGGGCUUUGUCUGUGUGUCCAACCUCAGCGUACCUAUGAGAUCAUUGGGGAGCCCAAUCCUGAUGAACCCUCUGGAAGUGGACCUGGCAACCCCAGGCUCUCAAACCAUAGCUGAACUGGUCCAUAACUCCACCACACAUUCUGACGAUGACACAACCACAGUCACCGAGCCAGCGGACCUGGAAAGCCCAGGCUAUGAUACUAUAGCUGAACUGGUCCAGGAUUCGAGUGCAACCACACUGCCUGACGAUGACCCUAUCACAACCACAGUCACAGAGCCAGGGGAUCAGAUAACCCCUGCGUAUGAAACCAUUGCUGAACUGGUCCAUAAAUUGAGCGCAACCACACUGCCUGACGAUGAGCCAAUAAGAACCACAGUCACAGAGCCAGGAGAAGGGCUUGACCUUACAAGCCCUCUCUCAGUGGCAGAGGAGGGUUUCUGUGACGGGGUGGAAUCCAAUGUACGCUAGAGUGAGAAAGAAGCUUAGUAAAAGUACCACCCCACCACCUGUGCUUCCAUCGGAGGACGAGGAACCGGAGGGAUUUUCACCUCCAUUACCAGAGAGAAGUGGAGAGAUGGAGGGAUGAUCAUUGUAGAAUAUCUCAUAAGACUUCAAAUGUGUGUUACGUCAUCAAUUAUAUUUAUAUAGACUCAACUGUGUCAUUUCUGGUGGAACAUGUCUCAGAUGAUGAAGAUAAGGGUUGUACCCAGUACAUAUCUUAUACGAUCUCAUAUGAGACGGGUAUCUCACUGUCCUAUCCUUCAUAUACACUAUUUCCAGUCCUUUCAUUAGCUUUGCAUUGAACUCCGUACAAUGCUAUGCUACAUAUUCCAUAAGGAAGGACCCUAAGCCCAGAGUAGAACUGGGUCACCUAACAUGUUCCAGAGUAGGCUUUAUGUUUGUAUUUACUAACACAUUACAGUGUGAAGUGGCAAUUACACAGUAAUAAAUCAUUGAGUUACAGGUUUCUUUGAGAUUCAUUCAACUUGGUCCACUUAAGAUUCUCUCCCUCUCUAGAAUUACAAACAUUAUACUUUAAUGACAAUAGUGGUGCAUUCUUAAUAAAUAAUGUAUAUCAACAAAUUAAAUGGACAACAUUAUGGGUGUGUCCGAAUACCCAUACUUAAAUAGAAGGCUUUUUGGGUAUGCAAAAAUGUUUUAUAGUAUGUGUCAUUUAGAAAAUGUAGUAUGCUUUAAGUGCAAGGAUGUCAUACUAAUUUUGGCUUUAAAUCAAGUAGAAUUUGCGCAUAGAGAAUGACAGAGGACUCCAGUGGCCAAAAACUUGUUUUAUCAUGGGCAUUGAGGACUUUCACCAUUUUGAAGUAGUUAACUGGAUGGGACUUACUAUGGGUUAAGGAAGGCUAAAAUAAUUCCAUCCAGGUCCAAGGAUAGAUCAGCCAAUGAAUUAUACUUGUGCACAAACAUUACAUAACUGUAGGGGCAGUAAAUCGCCAACCUUGGCUUUAUACCUGUUCAGACAACACACUCCGGAUGGCAGUAUGCAACCUUUCAGUUUGUUUACCAACUGUACUAAAAUGUACUACUUUAAAAUGGAGAUGUCCUCAAUGGUGCUGCCCAUGCUCUUACAGACGCCAUAAUGGGACAGAUACAUUGUUGUGUCCUCUAACUAGCUCUAUGAAUUUGCUGCACACUAUUGAGGAAGAUAAUUGUCUUUUCACACAAGUAUUUGACAACAGCUGAUAAUCAGAAUAGGGGACCCGCUCUACAAAAAUGUAUAAAUAGCAGGGAACAAACGCGUUUGAGCAUUAGAUGAUGCCUUUUCAGUAUGGCUGAGUGGUAUGUUGAUAUUUGUUGCUUACUGCAUACAUUUUUACUAAACAGUACAUUGUAAAUAGUAUGUUGUACUAUUAGUACACAGUAUGUAGUUUUAGUAAAUAGUGGGCAAGUUGGCAUUUCCAUUUAUUUAUUCAAAGCUUUACAGGUGAGGGGUAAAACCAAUCAUUUAGAAUUUACGUACAAUAUAAAACAAAUAUUAAUUCAGUGUUGUAAAAUGUCUAUUGUCAUUAUUAGAACAUAUAGGCUGAGCAGAAUGAAAUACAAGAGGACAGAUGUAAUACACCAUUACAAUACCACAUUGCAAAUCUGUACCUCAUUCAUUCCAACUAUUUAAUUUGAAAUUAAACACAUGUAUCAGAAUUCCAAUUCAAAAUAUUGUUUAAGUGCUUCUGUGUGCAGAUGCAAUUAACUUUUCUCACCACAGUGGGGAAGUACAACUCACUAUCUCUUACUGGAUUUCUCUCUGUCAGUGGAAAGUGAGAUGCCAAAGAAUGUGUCACAUUCAGCCCCUCUAAAUCCUGCUGGAUACUGUCCCCACCCUUCCUCAGAAGGGUGGGAACACCGCAAGAACUAUGGUCAGGAAAUUAAACUUAAAUACACAUCCCUAGCACAUACCUUUUAAAAGUAGGCAUUGAGAGAAAAACAUGCCUUUCGCUCAACUAUUAUAGCAUGCCCAUAAGCCUUGUUGAAAUAAGUGGUCUUUGAGCUGUUUUACUCUAGACUGGGAAAUCGGAAUAAACAAGCUCCGACUGGGAAAAUACAUUUUGAACGGUCAUCCAACUCAGAAUAGUAAAUCCGGCCUCUUUCUAGAGCUACGACUUGAAGAUCAAUGACGUCAUCAUGAUUCGGCCUUGUUUGUUUCCGAGUUCCCAGUUGUUUUGAAAACACCAUAAAUCCAGAGAAUGCCAGACUUUGAAAUUCGCAACAUUAAGACUACAAAACUACAAGGACAUUGCUCAAUGCCAAAUGUUUUGUAAGACCGAAUUGUUUCUGCAGCAAUUUUGUGGGCUGACACGAUGUUGAAUCCCACAUUGGAAUAGACCACUGGAUGAUUCUGUCUAUUACCCAUUGACAGACAUAUCCAUGGAGAUAAUUAAUAGUUUAUUAGAUUGGUUGGUGUCUGUAGCCCUGCAUGGUGCUGCAAAUGCAGUAUUUAAUUUAUUUAUAUAUACAGUACCAGUCAAAAGUUUGCACACACCUACUCAUUCAAGGGUUUUUCUUCUCUAAAUUGUAGAAUAAUAGUGAAAACAUCAAAACUAUGAAAUAACACAUGGAAUCUUGUAGUAACCAAAAAAGUGUUAAAAUAUAUUUUGAUUUGUUUAUAUUUGAGAUUCUUCAAAGUAGCCACCCUUUGCCUUGAUGACAGCUUUGCACACUCUUGGCAUUCUCUCAACCAGCUUCAUGAGGUAGUCACCUGGAAUGCAUUUCAAUUAACAGGUGUGCCUUGUUAAAAGUUAAUUUGUGGAAUUUCUUUCCUUCUUAAUGCGUUUGAGCCAAUCAGCUGUGUUAGCCCUAUUUGAUAAAAGACCAAGUACAUAUUAUGGUAAGAACAGCUCAAAUAAGCAAAGAGAAAUGACAGUCCAUUAUUACUUUAAGACAUGAAGGUCAGUCAAUCCGGGAAAUGUCAACAACUUUCUUCAAGUGCAGUCACAAAAACCAUCAAGCGCUUUGAUGAAACAGGCUUUCAUGAGGACCGCCACAGGAAAGGAAGACCCAGUUACCUAUUCUGCAGAGGGUAGGUUCAUUAGAGUUAACUGCACCUCAGAUUUCAGCCCAAAUAAAGUAACAGACACAUCUCAACAUCAACUGUUAAGAGGAAACUGAGUGAAUCUGGCCUUCCUGGUCUAAUUGCUGCAAAGAAACCACUACUAAAGGACACCAAUAACAAGAAGAGACUUGCUUGGGCCAAGAAACAUGAGCAAUGCAUAUUAGAAUGGUGGAAAUCUGUCCUUUGGUCUGAUGAGUCCAAAUGUGAUUUUUUUUGUUUCCAACUGCCGUGUCUUUGUGAGAUGUGGAGUAGGUAAACGGAUGAUCUCCGCAUGUGUGGUUCCCAUCGUGAAGCAUGGACGAGGAGGUGUGAUGGUGUGGAGGUGCUUUGCUAGUGACUGUAUGUGAUUUAUUUAGAAUUCAAGGCACACAACCAUCAUGGCUACCGCAGCAUUCUGCAGCAAUACGCCAUCCCAUCUGGUUUGCGCUUAGUGGGACUAUCAUUUGUUUAUCAACAGGACAAUGACCCAAAACACACCUCCAGGCUGUGUAAGGGCUAUUUGACCAAGAAGGAGAGUGAUAGAGUGCUGCACAUUUUUACUACAUGAUUCCAUAUGUGUUAUUUCAUAGUUUUGAUGUCUUCACUAUUAUUCUACAAUGUAUAAAAUAGUACAAUUAAAGAAAAACCUUUGAAUGAUUAGGUGUGUCCAAACCUUUGACUGGUACAGUGUGUGUGUAUAUAUAUAUAUAUAUAAAUCUGCGUCAAUAUGGCACUAAUCAAGAGCUUAAAGUUCCUCUGUGCCCACAUCACUAAAGAAUUAAUUAACAUGGUUCACACACACCAACAGUCGUGGAGAAGGCACGACAAUGCCUCUUCGAUCUCAGGAGGCUGAAAAUAUUUGGCAUGGGCCCUCAGAUCCUCUAAAAGUCCCACAGCUACACCAUUGAGAGCAUCUUGAUUGGCUGCAUCACCACUUGGUAUGGCAACUGUUUGGCAUCUGACCGCAAGGCGCUACAGAGAGCAAUGCGUACGACCCAGUACAUCACUGAGGCCGAGCUCCCUGCCAUUCAGGACCUCUAUACCAGGCGGUGUCAAAGGAAGGCCCUAAAAAUUGUCAAAGACUCCAGACACCCAUGUCAUAGGCUGUUCUCCCUGCUACCGCACAGCAAGCGGUACAGAUGCACCAAGUCUGUAACCAACAGUACCCUGAACAGCUUCUACCUCCAAGCCAUAGGACUGAUAAUUAGUUAACCAAAUAGCUACCCGGACUAUCUUCAUUCACCCUUUUUGCUCUUUUGACUCAUCACAUACGCUGCUGCUACUGUUUAUUAUUUAUCCUUUUGCCUAUAGUCACUUUACCCCUACCCAGUGUUGUAGUACUCAAGACCAGAUAUUGAGUCUCUUCGUCUAAUCUCUGUGUCUGAUACUUAUUUAUUCGGUCUUGACUUGGUCUCGGACAAUGAGGACUUGUAAUUUCUUCCUGAGACCAGACGAGACCAGUAGAGUAAAACCUUCAGAAUUUCGGCUCCCAUUCAGUCAGCGCAUAAAGCCGCUUUGCCAGGCCAAAUAUCCACACCCCUUUUAUGACAAUAUCUUAUCACCUAUCGAAACCAGGGCUUCCUACUUUACUCGUAACAUUACUGUCCUUAACUUUUGUUGAAAAAUAUCCUCAAACUUUGUCGCGCUCGUCAGAACUUCCUUAAUUCGCUGGUAGGGAAGAGUGGGGGGAAUGAUUUAAAGUUGUGUCCUCACUAUUAGUAAGGGGAGACCGGAGGAAGUUGUAUUUUUAUCUAUUAUAGAUCUGUUUGGGUUAGUGAUGAUUUGUAGAGUGGCUCCCUAUUUGCACUCAGCAGGCAUUUUUUCACCAUUCUGAAUGUCUAAAGCAGCCUUUCUUAAAGUAUGGGUUGCAGUUGUUUUUUUUUAUUAGUAGGGAGUCAGGGUCUCAAAUUACUGUUGAGAGUUAGAAAAUAUGCCAUUUAGCAGAAGCCUUUAUCCAAAGUGACUCACAGUCAUGGGUGCAUACAUUUUAUCUAUGGGUGGUCCUGGGAAUUGAACUGCCUACCCUUACAAGCCCCAUGCUCUACCAACUGAGCUACAAAGGACCACACAUUUCAUGUAGAAUAGUAGAAUACACAAGGUGAAAUUUUGAAAUUUGGUUGUGCAUCAGCAGCUUUUCUCUUUUUAUGUUUGUCACUCAAUUAGCCAUCUCAGCUAACAAUUUUUAGAUUGGUAAGUUAGUCUAGCCAGCUAUCUAAACUUGUAGCUUUCAUGGACGAAUACCGACCGGACAAGCAGGGCAUGUGCCCAUGGGCCCUGACCUACUGGGGGCCCACAUUGAUUUUGUUAGUCACUCUCACUCAGAUAUUAUAUUAACAAGGCAUAAGUCAUGGCCCAAUGUGUAGAAUUGCAGGAAAUUAGCUUUAAAAAUGCAAUUUUCUUAUCUCUGCCACAUGGCAAAAUGAGUAGAAUUGCAUGAAAUGUUUUAUAAAAUUUCUAAAUGCUUUCUCCCUCUCAUGGCAAAAUGUUCAGACGUGCAGAACACGUGCUUUAACACUGCAGCAUUUUCUCUCCCAAUUGCCGAAUGUGUAGAAUUGCUGGAAAUUAACUUUAAAACUUUUUUCUCUAUGCAGUCAAGAGAAGGGCCACUAAAAAUGUUUGCCCGUGAGGUGGGGUGCCCGCCCCAAACAAAUCUCACUUAGGAUCUCGAAAAGGGGGCAUGUUUUCAUAAGUUUGGGUCCCAGGAAAACACAGCAUUUCUCAUUUCGGUCCCAGGCUGAAAAAGUUUACGAAUCCCUGUUCUAAAGAAUCCAUAUGUUCUUCUGAAAUAGGAACACAGAAUUACUGGACAUUUUUAACUUGUAUUAUGGUGCCGAUUUUACACAAUUACAAUCAUGGUCUUGAAUUGUACUGUCAUUUUUCUGGUCUCGGUCUUGACUCAGUCUCGAAUAAAACACUGACCCUACCUAUAUGAACUGUACAUAUCUACCUCAAUUACCUCGUACCCCUGCACAUCGACUCAGUACUGGUACCCCAUGUAUGUAGCCAAGUUAUCAUCACUCACUGUGUAUUUAUUCCUUGUGUUAAAUAUAUAUAUUUUUUUUCUCGAUUUUUCUCUCUGCAUUGCUGUUUUUAUGAAACAUGUGAAAAAUAAAAUUUGAUUUGAUCAAUAGUGGACAUGCAUAAAAGAGUUUGCUAUAUUGUAUAAUGGUCUCUAUUACUCUUUUUUUGUAUCUGCUUUAGCACAGUAAACUUGAUCCCGAUUGUAGCUCCAAGAUGGCGGCAAUUGGAAAAAACUAAAAAGUAGAUUGUGCUGAUUUAGUGGCACAUUGAACCAUGUCACAUAUCCUAGUUUAAAGUAACUAUCCUGUGGAAAUCUCACUUUUAAAAGUUAAUAUUCUCUUAACUCAAAUAAUGUUGUUCACUCAUUCUAUACUCUUAUUUUUGGCCAAAGCAUAAAUUGGGAAAAAAACCACCUCAAACAGACCGUUUACAUUUAUUUUGUUGCUAUUUCCUCAUAGAGGAAGAUGUCAGCUGGGCAAUCAGCAGUCUACUCGCCUUAACAUUUUUAAUGAAUGGUAUACGCCCACACCAUUCUGUUGUUGGAGUACGCCAACACCAUUCCAACACAGAAAAACUGCUUUUUAACAUACUUAAUUGCCAGUUUUUUUAAGGAAAAUUAUUAAAUUCCUAUUGUAGUUAAUUAUAGGUCCUAUUUCAUAUACAUUUGGAAAUACUGGCCAGUUACUUAAUCUGUGGGUAGUGCUAAAACAAUGGCAUCAUAUCUGAAUUCCUCCAUCAUUAUGCACAUCCACCAUUCAUUCAUUCAAAAAACAAAUAUUUGGUUAAAAAGUUAUCCUGCUAUUUUAGUCUCUCCUGUGAGGUCAACUAAACUCUCUCUCUAUGGUCUCCAUCAGGUCCACUUCUGAUCCAUCGUACAGAAUAACAGGCAUGGAGAGAGAGGGGCCAUUGCCAUCGUCCAGGACUCUGG